rnacentral:rRNA from 1 species
GCCUAGCCGUAACAUACAAUCAAAUUACGAAUUGUUCGCCAAACAACUACGAGUAAUACUUAAAACUUAAAAGACUUGACGGUACUUCACCCCGACCUAGAGGAGCCUGUCUAUUAACCGACAAUCCGCGAUUAACCCAACCACUUCUUGCCUAACAGUCUAUAUACCGCCGUCGCCAGCUUACCUUGUAAAAGAAAUAAAGUGAGCUAAACAGUAACACACUAAAACGACAGGUCGAGGUGUAACUUAUGAAGCGGGCCAAGAUGGGCUACAUUCUCCAACAGAGAAUACGAACAACACUAUGAAAUUAAUGUUUGAAGGCGGAUUUAGCAGUAAGAUGAGAACAAAACACUCAACUGAACACAACGCAAUGAAGUGCGCACACACCGCCCGUCAUCCCUGCCACCACAAUAUUAAAUCUUAAUAAAUCACUUAAUAAGCCAACCAGGGCAAGUCGUAACAUGGUAGGUGUACUGGAAAGUGUACCUAGAAA